GGUGGCUCAGUGGUAGAGUGCUUGCCUCGCAUGCAUGAGUACCUGGGUUCGAUUCCUCAGCACCA
rnacentral:tRNA from 1 species